rnacentral:rRNA from 1 species
AUCUAGCACUUUCAGUGUUCGAGUUGUAAUUUGAAGAAGGUAACUUUGGUUUUGGCUCUUGUCUAUGUUCCUUGGAACAGGACGUCACAGAGGGUGAGAAUCCCGUGCGAUGAGAUGCCCAAUUCCAUGUAAAGUGCUUUCGAAGAGUCGAGUUGUUUGGGAAUGCAGCUCUAAGUGGGUGGUAAAUUCCAUCUAAAGCUAAAUAUUGGCGAGAGACCGAUAGCGAACAAGUACAGUGAUGGAAAGAUGAAAAGAACUUUGAAAAGAGAGUGAAAAAGUACGUGAAAUUGUUGAAAGGGAAGGGCUUGAGAUCAGACUUGGUAUUUUGCGUUCCCUUCCUUUUUGGUUGGGUUCCUCGCAGUUUACUGGCCCAGCAUCGGUUUGGAUGGUAGGAUAAUGACAUUGGAAUGUAGCUUU